AUCAUAUCAAAUCAGUCUGCAAAUUUAUUAUUAUUUUUUUUAAAAAAACAUAGUAUUUAUUUAGUGUGUAUCUGUAUGUAUGUGUGUACACAUGUGCCACAGUGGGCAUCUGGAAGUCAGAGGCCAACUUGCAGGAGUUUGUUCUCUCUUUCCAUUAUGUGAGUUCCAGGUAUUGAACUGAGGUUGGCACAUUUGGUGACACAGGUCCUAGGCACUGUGAAGUAUGCCGAGAGUUUGCCUAAUGUAGCUCUUCUCAUUCAUAUGUCACAUCUGAGUGGCAGUAAGCAUCCGAAGAUGAUUCACAUGUCUCUUCCUCACCUCUAACUGCCUGCUGUAAAUCUUCCACCUUAGGAAGAGGGUACCAAGAAAGACAGGAGGAAAAUGGGAUGAUGGGAAAGGGAAUAUGGGAAGAAAAAGAGGCUGAAAUUUCUGAAGCCAUGUAAAGAAGAUGCUGAAGCCAAACAUUAUGGUGCACACCUAUGAUCCUGCACUUGGAAGAGUGUGGUCAAAGAGUUUCGAGUUCCAGGGUCAAUCUGGACUCAACAGGGAGACUGUGAAGGAGAGAACAAAUGUUAAACAAAGAGAUUGUCAACUGUGUCCAUUCUGCACAGACAUGGAAUAAAAUGAUUGCCCAUCAGGUUUGGCAAAGGAGAACUUACUGUUCAAUUUGAUGGGUGGUAUAAAAGCCUAACAGGAGUGAGUUAAAGAUUUGAUGAAGGGGAAGAGGGUGGAGAGGGUAACCAAAUAACGUUUUAGUGGAAUAUUUUGAGAAGUGAGGCCAGAAACAGAGAGCUAAUGAGUGAAUGGGUCAGCUGCUCAGUCACCAGGCAAGCAUACCUUUAACAUGCUUUAUUAUGGGAGCUGUAGUAAGUGCUGUUGCAUAACAGUAAGCCACCUCAGUAUCCGUGGCUUGUACUAACAAGAUUUACCUCUUACUUUAUAUGUUUGCAGCUGCGGCUUCCUAGUGAUGCUUCUGCUUAAGAUUGCAUGUCAAAUUCAGUCACCUUGUGUGUCAUUUGAUUCUGUGACUCUGGCUGAAGAAAUAGUGAUGUGCCCUUCUUGUGGCACAAGGUCAUGGCAGAAAGAGAUCUGGCUGAAUCAAACAAAUUUAAUAUUUUCACUUAGAUAUGAACUAGGUCAUAUUUUUAUACAUGCUGUUGGCUAAAUAAUCAACAUAGCCAAGUUCAGUGCCAGUGCAGUGGGAAGAAUGCCCUGCUUGGCAAGGGAAGUCAAAUGGGACCCUCUUACAAAGAGGGAAUAAAUGUUUGUGAACAGUGUUAAAAUGAACCGUAGAAUCUAUCCAUUCUGUUUUGUACAAAUACGGUCAUGCGUCUCAUCUAGAAGCCCUUUCUCCACACAUCAUUGAUCCUGGCAUGCAGCCUAGCUCUGGCUGGGAAUCAGCUCCUGAAAUACAAUGACAAAUGAAGAAUGACCAUACAUAAUUCAUAUCAGUGAUUUUUUUAAGAAACAAUUUAUCAGUUUCUAAUGCCACUGAAAAUACAAAGCUUAAUUCAAGAUAUCUUUAAAACUUAUUUUAGAAAGGAGAGGAACAUGGGAACCAUCUAGUUCAACUGGUAUAGUUGGUUUAUGGGUUGAAGGCAUAGUCCUUAAUAUGGCAGUGUUUAGGGGUUGAACCCUUGGAGAGUGAAUGAUUUAUGAGGACUCUUGGCCUUAUCAGUGGAUAACAUUAUUGAUAAGCUCAUCAUUUCUUCCUUCCCUCCUUUCCCUCUGCCAUGAUAUGAGCAUCUUUGGUUAACCUCUCACUUUCCACCAUGAUGCUUGGCCCCAGGCCCAAAUUGAUGGGACCAAGGGACGACAUACUGAAAUCUCUGAAAUCUUGAGACAAAAAUCCUUCCUCAUUUCAGUUGAUUUUAUCAGUUAUUUUAUUUUCAUAGCAAUGGAAAGCUGACUAACAAUCCAGUUCCCUUUAUUUGACAGGUAACGAAACUUGAGGCCAAACAAGGCAGCUUGACUUGUUCAAAUCUCAUGGGUAGGAAAUAUUAGACUAUGUGGCUCAGGGAACUCAUAUCUGUCCUUCUCUUCUUCCAGAGAAAAGGAACUCAGUCUACAAUGUAGUCCUCAGGGACACGUAACUAGACCUCAAGGCUAAACCCAGCAUGAAGGCACACUUUUCAGAGGGCUAUAAAGAGAUUAGAAGUGGUUAUUUCACAUUAUGGUUUCUGAGGUGGUGAUCUAUAUUGGAUGGCUCCCUCUCCCAUUCUGUUUCUUUCCCUUUUUUCCCAUUCUCCUCUUUCUCCAACAUGACUAGGAAAAAAGGACCAGCUCUAUAUACUCUUUCACUUGGGCAGGGGAUCCUUGGUAAGCCCAUCAGACAAUAUGGUGGAAUACAGAGGAUGCACAAAGAGUCUAACCCUAGUCUAGGCAGAGAAGCUUUGCUCUUACACACAUUCACCACUGUAGGGAAAUCUUAGGACUUUAGGAUGAGGAAUAGACUCUUGUGGGUAGGGAAGGAGCUGUGUAAUUAAGGGAAGAAUUAGAGUCUUGAGAAUCUGUCAACUUUUCCAUUUAUAACUAAGAAAUAUAAUUUGUUGUUAUAUCAUGCUAUAACUUUAAAUGGACUGAUAAGCAGGAAGAGUUUUUGUCUCUGAGGACAUGAUGUUCUAUGACUAUUUCAGUAAUGGAGAACAUGUUUGCUCUCUUGGCAUUCAUGAAGUUUAAUAAGUUAAAGAAUACAAGGAGAAAAAGAGAAGGAAAAACCUUAGACGAUAAGAACGUCAGACAUUACUGUGCACAACAUGUCUCAAGGUUGUUCUAUUCUGUUGUGUUCAAUAGCACAGCUGAGCUCAUGCAGUUCCAGCUCCUUCUCUUCAGGAUCUUUAGCUCCUAGCACAGAGCUUCACAUAAAAUAGGAACUCAGUCAGUCUGUGCUAAUGUUAGAUUGGAGACAUCUGAUUAAAGUUGAAGGUUAAUGUAGGGAAGGGGGGUCUGUGAUGGAGUCAAUGGAAACUUUAGCCACCAAGUAUAAUGUUUUAAUAUUGAUAAAGCUUUGUGGUUUAUGGCUCUUGGCUAUGUGCAGCGUCUAUUGUUUCCUCACAAUUCUAUGAUGCAAAGAGACUCUCAAUUCUUUCACUCAUAGGUCCAGAGAGUCCAGGAGGCUUGUCUGUUGUCUUACCUGGUGUGGCGGUCAUCUCAAACCCAGUUCUUUUCCUCAAAUGCAAAACAAGUUUUCUACAAUGAGGAUUCAUAGCUGCUGGAAGAUUUAAAAAGACAGAAGAUAAAUUCACUGCUUUCAUUAGAAUGAACAUGAACAAUGGAAGAGAAAGACUAGAAGUCAGGGACAAAUGGAUAGGACCCAGAGCCAAUGGCAUCCCAAUCUCUUUUCCACUGUAGCAGAGGUUCCAGUGGAGGUACAAGCAGCAUUUCCCGUUAGCAGGGGAGCAGAAGCCAAAGAAGGAACACUUCCCUUUCCUCCAGAUCUUGCAAGGAGGAUACUCUCAACAACUUAAAACUAGGAUUUCCAUGUUACCCAGCUAUAUCACUCCUGGACGUAGACCCAAAGGAUUCCAUGUUCUACUACAGAGACACCUGCUCAUCUGUGUUUAUCACUCUAUUCGCAAUAGCAAAGAAAUGGAACCAGACUGGAUGUCUAUUAACAGAUGGGUGGAAACUGAAAUUGUGGUACAUAUGUAUCCACUGUUUCCACAACUCUCACAUUUAGUUAUGAUUUUUAAGAAGCUGGAUAGUGGAACGACUGGUCACCUUGGUUGAUACCUCAAAAUUCCAAGGCCCCCUCUCCUUCUGUCCUCACCAAGAGACUAAUGCUCUUCUCCAGAGCUCCUGAAUUAGAUCUGGGAAGGGGUGAGGUCAGAAUGCAUUUUGUCUUACCACCACAUAAAAGUCUUCACUCUCGCCGGGCGGUGGUGGCGCACGCCUUUAAUCCCAGCACUUGGGAGGCAGAGCCAGGCGGAUCUCUGUGAGUUCGAGGCCAGCCUGGGCUACCAAGUGAGUUCCAGGAAAGGCGCAAAGCUACACAGAGAAACCCUGUCUCGAAAAACCAAAAAAAAAAAAAAAGUCUUCACUCUCACUCAUGCUAGACCUCUUUGGGGGCUCAUGCCAGGUGAGCAAAACACCCCUUAUACUGUUCUACUGGGCAUUAUUUGUGAAUGUGCCAUUUCUUAUUUAUUUGAAAUGUUUUUUCCCCCUUCACUCUCCUACUUGUACUUUUGCCUUGAGUUCUGAUGCUUUAUGUUUAUGCAAUAGUUGUCCAAUGCCAUGACUUCAGAGUUAGGUUGAUCUUAGAGUUAGCUUUGCAGUGUGAACUGGUCUCCGGUUUUGUUACAUAGAUGACUAUUUUUUUUAUAUGUUGAACUAUAAAUAUGUUGACUAUUUAAUGUGUUGAACUAAAUUUAUAAUCUACCCCUUCCAAACUUGCUAUUAUUUCUAAAUUCUGGUAGUUAACAAUGUCACUAACCUCUUAGUUUCCCAGGUCAGAAAACAAUGAGUCAUUCUGAAUCGUCUCCCUUUUGGGACAUUCCAUAUCCAAUUCAGUUACUGUACAACACACUCUUCAAUCCCCUUCAGUCCAUUCCAUGUUUCUUUUUGUGUUUCCAUUGCUUUAUCACAGGUUUAGUUAUAGAGAACUUCUAUCUCCUAACUGGUUUCUAUUUUUAAAGCUCAUUCUCUUCAAUAAUCUUUCUAAAACAUAUAGGACCAUUGUUGUGUGGUAGUCACCAGAGAAGACUGCUUGGACAUGAAGUUAAGCCAAUAGAAAGUCUUUAUUAGCUUACCACUGACUACACUGGGUGUCUUGAAUCCCAGUGACUACACGGCUCUUUCUGAUGGUGAGCUUUUAAUCACAAAAAAACCAUGCCCUGGGUUGACAUACUUCAGUUAACAAGAACAGUUAGCCAACUACAGAAGCCAAAAAACAAGGUAAGUAUAUUUAGAGACUUUCCCAGAUCAAUGGACUUUGAUGGAUUAGGUCUUUGUUUUCAUUUUGGCUAGUAUGCUGUCUACAUGCUGAGUUUUACAGCCAGAAUGGCACUUCCAUCAUGGAGUCAGUUGUGCUAAGGUCUAGAGCCUAUUAAGGUCAGGAGCCCUGUUAUGACCUUCUCUUCCUUCCUUUGCUGAAGUCAUUCUAAGGGUAUUUUCGCUUUCAAAACACAACUCAAUCUCACCUCUCUAAGCAAAAGUCUGCCAUUGCCUUUUAGACAAUUAGACAGUGGUCUCUGUUUAAUCCAACCACUGUAUCUCUGGUUAGGAGACACCUAGAACUUUCCCACUUGGUCUUCUCUCUGCUUCUUCCAAAUGUUCAUUCAUAGCAACCUUUUAAAACUCAGACUGAUUGUCUGGUGUUACAUUUAUGGGAAGAUUCUCCUUUUAGUUGUUUUAAAGGAUUUGCUUAUGAUCUAGUCAGAGUCUUCCAGGCCCUUGCCUGGGAUUUUUUAAUCCUGAUUUCAGUCGUGAAGAUCCCCUGUUGCCUUUUGGGUCAAAAUGCUGUGAGGAUGUGAAGUUGGAGUUCCUACCACUUGGAAGAUGUGCACUGGUGGAGAAAAAGUCAUCACCAUCAGAAGAAAGGAAAGAUGAGGACUGGAGCAUGGGCAAGAGGGGCAAACCAAGUCUUGGUGACACGGAGGCUUAAAUUAUGCUUGAUAUGGAAUCUUUUCUAGUCAUCUUCAAUUAUUAGUUGAUUAAAUACACUGCCUAUCACUUCUCCCCUUUCUGUGGUGCUGAGGAAAAAAACCCAGAGUAUCUCAAAAGCUAGGUAAGUGCUGUAGCACUGGGCCACAUACCAUUUUCUCCUGAUUCUCCCCCCCCCCCCACUAAAUUAGAUUGAUUUAGCGCUUAUCACAUUAGGUCUUAACAGUCCAAGGAGGUGCACUAGGCUUGGAGAUCUAGCGUUAUUUACAGGAUGGUUACGAUUUUGGCUCUGAUGAAACUGUAUAAAUUUGAUAGAUUGAUUUCUUUGGGACUUUACAGACAUGUGAACUACAGGUGUUAACAUUUAAGUUUAUAUAAAGAAUGAUGCCGGGCAGCGGUGGUGCAUGCCUUUAAUCCAAGCACCCGGGAGGCAGAGCCAUGUGGAUCUCUGUGAGUUCAAGGCCAGCCUGGUCUACAGAGCGAGAUCCAGGACAGGAACCAAAACUACAUGGAGAAACUCUGUCUCAAAAAACAACAAACAAACAAACAAAAAAGACACACUUAUGGGCAGUUCAAAUGUCUUAAUUAGUACUGGAAUGAACACAGCAAAAUGUAUGCAUGUUCUUAGAAAGCUUAUUUGUAAUUAUCUAUCACUUAACCAAAUGGGUCUCAACUCUGGAUAUGCAGUGCAGUCAUGUGGAGUACUUAUAGAGUGACCAAUGACUAGGAACAUCCCAGGCAAAGCAAACCAGAAUCUCUGGGGGGUAAGUGACAAAUGUUGGUAUUGUUCAAAACUUCCCAGGUUUCUACUUUUAGCAAGUGUGAGACUGUCAGCUUUACAGAUCUAGAAUCACCUAGGAAAUCUCUGAGCAGGUCUUUAUUUUUAAUAAUUUAUAAUAAUAAUAAUAAUUGGUAUGUAUGAUGUGUACAUAUGAGAUCAGGCAUGCGCAUGCCAGGGUGUAUGUACGGAGGUCAGUGAAAGACCCUAGCCCUUCAGGCUUACACCCCCAAGCCCCAGGAAAUAAGGAACUAAAAAGAAAACUAAUUCCAAGGGUCACCUAACUCAGCCACUACUCAAUCACCCCUAUAACAAUAUAACAAUGUAAAAAGAUUUCUGUUAAGAGAUGCGCUCAACUGUGACUGGGAUAGUUGCAAGUGUUCCAGGAAGGACCACUGUGACCUUUGUGUAAACUCCACUCCCGCCCUGAUACCCUCCUUGAGGUUUCGGGAAAGAUGUACACACUGAUGUAACUGUACCCCCUCUGUGAUCACUCUGUGACCAGACUAUGAUCUUAUGAAAUUAGCCUCUAGACAUAAAUCAAUUGAAACAAAAUUGUAUGGGAAUUGUAAUCUUGUGGUUUUUGUGGGCUUUUCCUUUAAAAACCCCCAUGUGGCUGCAGUAAGAGGCGACUCUUGCUCUUAGGAGCAGAGUUUGCCUGUCUGUACAGUUGCUAAUAAACCUCUUGCUAUUGCAUCAA